rnacentral:tRNA from 1 species
CCUUGGUAGUAAGGGGGUUGGGACCCUGUGCAUGGAUGUACAGCCCACUGCNUGUUAUCGACCAUACUACC